UACGUAGGGUGCGAGCGUUGUCCGGAAUUACUGGGCGUAAAAAGCUCGUAGGUGGUUUGUCGCGUUGUCCGUGAAAACUCACAGCUUAACUGUGGGCGUGCGGGCGAUACGGGCAGACUGGAGUACUGCAGGGGAGACUGGAAUUCCUGGUGGUAGCGGUGGAAUGCGCAGAUAUCAGGAGGAACACCGGUGGCGAAGGCGGGUCUCUGGGCAGUAACUGACGCUGAGGAGCGAAAGCGUGGGGAGCGAACAGG
rnacentral:rRNA from 1 species